GAUGAAGAACGCAGCGAAAUGCGAUACGUAAUGUGAAUUGCAGAAUUCAGUGAAUCAUCGAAUCUUUGAACGCAUAUUGCGCUCUCUGGUAUUCCGGAGAGCAUGCUUGUUUGAGUAUCAGUAAACACCUCAACUUCCAUAUCUUUUUUGAAAUGGGAGUUGGACUUGAGUGAUCCCAACGCUUUUCCUCACCGAAAAGUGGCGGGUUACUUGAAAUGCAGGUGCAGCUGGACUUUUCUCUGAGCUAUAAGCAUAUCUAUUUAGUCUGCCUAAUAAACAGAUUAUUACCUUUGCUGCAGCUAACAUAAAGGAGAUUAGUUCUUGUGCUGACUGAUGCAGGAUUCACAAAGACAGCUUCGGCCGACUUUGUAAACUCGAUCUCAAAUCAAGUAAGACUACCCGCUGAACUUAAGCAUAUCAAUAAGCGGAGGA
rnacentral:misc_RNA from 1 species